rnacentral:lncRNA from 1 species
GGGAGAUGGUUCAGCAGGUGAAAAAAAAAAGUACUUGCCACGAAGGCCUGGCAGGCUGAAUUCAAUCCUUGGAACACACAUUAAAAUCCAGAUGCAGAAGCACACAUCUGUACUUCCAGUAGUACAGCCAGUACAGCAAGUUCAGCCAGGAGCACUAGCCUAAAGCUCAAAUGCACAGCACAGUGGCAGCGAGAGACUCUGCCUCAAAGCAAGGUGGAUUGAGCAAACCAGCUCCUGGCUGUUGUCCUCUGACUUCCAUACCUGUGCUGUGGCAUGUGUCCCUCCCCCAUUUUUAAAAAAGGAAUAUAUGGCUCCUUUCACAGGAAAACACCAAAUGGUAGAUGACACCAGUUUGGUGUGCCCAGGAGGACCUGGUGGACGCAGGGAAAGAAGCUGGAUUGGGAGGCCAUGGUGACUUUCACAGAGGCUUCAGUAGCAUCUGGAGAGGAGACGACCAGGUUUGUGAAGGCACUGAGAUAACCUGCAGGUUCCAAACCUGCCGUUAUCAUGGGUACAACAGAACCUUGCUGGAUCAUUCCCAGAUGAGGGCAAUCAUCCAUGAGGGUGAGGCUGUACCCCAGACCAUGAGUCAUCAUCUCCUGGGAAUCAGCCUGUCCUCUCAGGCAAUAGAGACUUCCUUGGACCAUCUUGAAGAAUUGGAGUUGAGACAACUAUCAAUUAGAUCACACCUUGACUUAAGACUGCUGGGGUUGAAUUCAGGUUGUCAGGCUUGA